rnacentral:lncRNA from 1 species
CUUAAAGCUGUAUGUCUUUACACAGGUGGGAGGUGUGUCUACAUUACAGACAGUUUACCAGAUCAGUCAAAUCUGCUAAUCUGACACCAGAUUACUGUGGUAGAAUCAGCCUCUUAAUCCAUAUCAGAUGAUAAAACUGGAAGCCUUCAGUUCAAAGGAACAGGCAUUUUAACAACCGAGUCUAAUUUGGCACAUUAUUGUUUCCAUCUCUGUGUAAAAACUGAAGUCUGUUGUUGUUCGCCUUGAAAACUCAAAGUCAGCAACUUCCA